AUGCACGCUGGCGGCGUGCCUAAUCCCUGCAAGUCGCGCGAACGGACGAGAAGCUUGCUUCUCUGAUGUUAGCGGCGGACGGGUGAGUAACACGUGGAUAACCUACCUAUAAGACUGGGAUAACUUCGGGAAACCGGAGCUAAUACCGGAUGAUAUUUUGAACCGCAUGGUUCAAAAGUGAAAGACGGUCUUGCUGUCACUUAUAGAUGGAUCCGCGCUGCAUUAGCUAGUUGGUAAGGUAACGGCUUACCAAGGCAACGAUGCAUAGCCGACCUGAGAGGGUGAUCGGCCACACUGGAACUGAGACACGGUCCAGACUCCUACGGGAGGCAGCAGUAGGGAAUCUUCCGCAAUGGGCGAAAGCCUGACAGAGCAACGCCGCGUGAGUGAUGAAGGUCUUCGGAUCGUAAAACUCUGUUAUUAGGGAAGAACAUAUGUGUAAGUAACUGUGCACAUCUUGACGGUACCUAAUCAGAAAGCCACGGCUAACUACGUG
rnacentral:rRNA from 1 species